rnacentral:misc_RNA from 1 species
CCCGCCGCGCGCAGAUAGUGCAGCGUGCCGGCAUAGACGCCCGCCUGAAUCGCGGUCGGACGCUUUUCGCCGCCAACCGCCGCAGUGAAGCGGUCGGAGAACUUGCGCGUGCCGUCGUUAGAGUCCCAAUAGAAGCCUUCGGUCAGAUAGANNNNCCUUGGCGCCCUGAAGUCCGAUGGCAUUGACGUCGGUGACCUGCAUCAGCAGCGCCGCCAGUUCUUGCCCGCCGGCCUGAAUGCCAAACUCGGUCGCCUGCUUCACGGAAUUGACGGUGUCGUUC